CGCGGCCUAUCAGCUUGUUGGUGGGGUAAUGGCCUACCAAGGCGGCGACGGGUAGCCGGCCUGAGAGGGUGUACGGCCACAUUGGGACUGAGAUACGGCCCAGACUCCUACGGGAGGCAGCAGUGGGGAAUAUUGCACAAUGGGCGCAAGCCUGAUGCAGCGACGCCGCGUGGGGGAUGAAGGCCUUCGGGUUGUAAACUCCUUUCGCUAGGGACGAAGCUUUUUGUGACGGUACCUAGAUAAGAAGCACCGGCUAACUACGUGCCAGCAGCCGCGGUAAUACGUAGGGUGCGAGCGUUGUCCGGAAUUACUGGGCGUAAAGGGCUCGUAGGUGGUUUGUCGCGUCGUCUGUGAAAUUCUGGGGCUUAACUCCGGGCGUGCAGGCGAUACGGGCAUAACUUGAGUGCUGUAGGGGUAACUGGAAUUCCUGGUGUAGCGGUGAAAUGCGCAGAUAUCAGGAGGAACACCGAUGGCGAAGGCAGGUUACUGGGCAGUUACUGACGCUGAGGAGCGAAAGCAUGGGUAGCGAACAGGAUUAGAUACCCUGGUAGUCCAUGCCGUAAACGGUGGGCGCUAGGUGUGAGGGUCUUUCUACGACUUUCGUGCCGUAGCUAACGCAUUAAGCGCCCCGCCUGGGGAGUACGG
rnacentral:rRNA from 2 species